rnacentral:rRNA from 1 species
GAUGAACGCUGGCGGCGUGCCUAAUACAUGCAAGUCGAACGAAACUUCUUUAUCACCGAGUGCUGGCACUGACCGAUAAAGAUUUGAGUGGCGAACGUGAGCGGAACACGUGGGCAACCUACCCAAAAGAGGGGGAGAACACUUGGAAACAGGUGCUAAUACCGCAUAACCAUAGUUACCGCAUGGUAACGAUGUAAAAGGUGGCUAUGCUACAGCUUUUGGAUGGGCGGGCGGUGCAUUAGCUAGUUGGUAGGGUAAAGGCGUACCAGGGGAAUGAUGCGUAUCCGAAUUGAGAGGUUGGUCGCCCACCUUGGGACUUGAACACCGCCCAUACUACUGAGGGAGGCACCAGUCUCGAACGUGCCACAGUAGGCGAAAGCAUGAUGGAGCGACGCCAAGUCGGUGAAAACGGUCCUCGGAUCGUAAAACCCUGUUGUUAGAGAAGAAAGUCCGUGAGCGUAACUGUUCACGUUUCGACGGUAACUAACCAGAAAGCCCCGGCUAACUACGUG